rnacentral:rRNA from 1 species
GACGAACGCUGGCGGCGUGCUUAACACAUGCAAGUCGCACGGAAAGGCUCCUGUGGGGGUACUCGAGUGGCGAACGGGUGAGUAACACGUGAGUAACCUGCCCUUGACUUCGGGAUAACUUCAGGAAACUGGGGCUAAUACCGGAUAGGAAUCCUUGCUGCAUGGUGGGGGUUGGAAAGCUUCGGCGGUUUUGGAUGUACUCGCGGCUUAUCAGCUUGUUGGUGGGGUAGUGGCUUACCAAGGCUUUGACGGGUAGCCGGCCUGAGAGGGCGACCGGCCACAUUGGGACUGAGAUACGGCCCAGACUCCUACGGGAGGCAGCAGUGGGGAAUAUUGCACAAUGGGCGGAAGCCUGAUGCAGCAACGCCGCGUGCGGGAUGACGGCCUUCGGGUUGUAAACCGCUUUCAGCAGGGGCGAAGCUUGUGGUGACGGUACCUGCAGAAGAAGCACCGGCUAACUACGUG